rnacentral:rRNA from 1 species
GACGAACGCUGGCGGCGUGCUUAACACAUGCAAGUCGAACGGAGCGAAUGAAAGCUUGCUUUUAUGAGCUUAGUGGCAAACGGGUGAGUAACACGUAGACAACCUGCCGACAGGAUGGGGACAACAUUCCGAAAGGAAUGCUAAUACCGAAUGAAGCGGAGGAGAGGCAUCUCUCUUCCGUGAAAGAUGGCCUCUGAAAAUGCUAUCACCUGUCGAUGGGUCUGCGUCUGAUUAGCUGGUUGGUGAGGUAACGGCUCACCAAGGCGACGAUCAGUAGCCGGUCUGAGAGGAUGAACGGCCACAUUGGGACUGAGACACGGCCCAGACUCCUACGGGAGGCAGCAGUGGGGAAUCUUCCGCAAUGGGCGCAAGCCUGACGGAGCAACGCCGCGUGAGUGAAGAAGGUCUUCGGAUCGUAAAGCUCUGUUGACGGGGACGAACGUGCGAAGGGUGAAUAAUCCUUUGUAAUGACG